GACACGCCCUCCGAAAUUUCGAAUGUUAUGGUUUGGGGGGAUUACCCUGUAAUUUAUGAACGCACCAUUAAUAUGUUGCCGUGAGGGAUUUCAUGACAAUGUUACAUGGAACGGUGGACAUUAUUGUUUAGUGAAUGGCCCUUCGUAGCCAUUUAACAAUCAUAUCGAUAGAAACGUAAACAAAUCCGUGUUUUCAAAUAUCGCCACUAGACGAUAAAUUGGCUCCCGUGGGUCCACUUAGGGCGGAGCCAAAUAAGAGGAAGGGAACCCAAAUUGGCUUCCAAAAAAAGGCCAAACCUUUCGGCUUCCUAUAUAGAGUAGGCUAUGCUUAGAGUGUCAGUUGUCGCGUAAACAGACGAUACGCUAACUAACAUCAACAACUUGUGCCGUAAUACCAAUGAAUGCAUAGGAGGAAACGUGAAAGUCGUGCAGCCUACCGUCAACUAUUUUGUUCAAACUCAUUGUAUUCUACUGAAUGUGCCAUAGAAAUGAUACAGGAUUUACCUUAAUUAUUGGCUGUUUCUUUUGGAUUUGCUAGAUCACCAACCCCAGCAUUGACCAAUCUCUCAUUCCAUCCUCUAGAGAACCUUAGAUCAUUGACAUCAAGAACAUUGAUGGCACCAAUUAUAAAUAAGACUUUAUGAGAACUUGUAUGUCAUUUCAAGAAAAAGGACAGGAUUAUGCAGUCAAUAUGAUUCAUUAACUCCUGAGCAGAGCCUGAGCAUCUGUACAUUUUGCCAAGAUGUCGUCUCUUUUUCCUGUACCGUCUAUACGUUUUGUAAGAAACACUUCAGAACAAAUCAGGUAAAUAUGUGCAACUUUUUAACUGUUAGACUUAGUUAGUUGGUGACUAUGUCUUAACUUGCCUCUGUUGUAGAACUUAAGUUGUUUUCCUUGGAAAAGCUUGCUAGCUGUAGGUUCCUUUGCAAAAUUUAUUCCGAAGGAUUGUAUAGUUAACUUUAACUUCUGUAUUU